rnacentral:rRNA from 1 species
GUGGGGAAUUUUGGACAAUGGGCGCAAGCCUGAUCCAGCAAUGCCGCGUGCAGGAAGAAGGCCUUCGGGUUGUAAACUGCUUUUGUACGGAACGAAACGGCUCUGGUUAAUACCCGGGGCUAAUGACGGUACCGUAAGAAUAAGCACCGGCUAACUACGUGCCAGCAGCCGCGGUAAUACGUAGGGUGCAAGCGUUAAUCGGAAUUACUGGGCGUAAAGCGUGCGCAGGCGGUUGUGUAAGACAGGCGUGAAAUCCCCGGGCUCAACCUGGGAAUUGCGCUUGUGACUGCACAGCUGGAGUGCGGCAGAGGGGGAUGGAAUUCCGCGUGUAGCAGUGAAAUGCGUAGAUAUGCGGAGGAACACCGAUGGCGAAGGCAAUCCCCUGGGCCUGCACUGACGCUCAUGCACGAAAGCGUGGGGAGCAAACAGGAUUAGAAACCCCUGUAGUCC